CCCUCGGAACUGGAUCUCAGUGUCCGGGCUGAACGAUGGGGGUGGAGAUGCUUCUUCAGGGAUCAGUGAGCUUUGACAGGUGUCCUUGCAUUUCGCUGACGACAACUGGGCCCUGCAGAGAGCUCUGUACAAGGACGUCAUGGUGGAGGUUUGUGAGAUGGUGACCUCUCAGGUUGGAGAGGGCACUGUGAGAAGGACCUCAGGUGAUGAGUGCAGGCUCUAGGUGGAUUCAUGAAAAGCAGUCCUUGAGUUAAAGGUAAAGGUAAAGGGACCCCUGACCAUUAGGUCCAGUCGUGACCGACUCUGGGGUUGCGGUGCUCAUCUCGCUUUAUUGGCUGAGGGAGCCGGCGUACAGCUUCCGGGUCAUGUGGCCAGCAUGACUAAGCCGCUUCUGGCGAACCAGAGCAGUGCACGGAAAUGCCGUUUACCUUCUCGCCAGAGCGGUACCUAUUUAUCUACUUGCACUUUGACGUGCUUUCGAACUGCUAGGUUGGCAGGAGCAGGGACCGAGCAACGGGAGCUCACCCCGUCGCAGGGAUUUGAACCGCCAACCUUCUGAUCGGCAAGUUCCAGGCUCUGUGGUUUAACCCACAGCGCCACCUGCGUCCCUUCAGUCCUUGAGUUACAUAGGUCAAAAUCAGCACCUUGAAUUGAAGACAGCAACCCAAAAAAGGUUUUAUGUGCUCAGAGCAUCUUGCACCAGUCAGCACUCUAUAGUUUCUGAACGGUCUUCUAAAGCAGCCUGAAGUAUAAUGCAUUGUGGCAAUCUAGCGUGGAGAAUGGUAGAAAAAGCAUACUAAAAAUCUUCUAUGUGGGGGACCCUAAUUUGUAGACUACUUGAGUAUCUUGUUAGUGUUAUUGGUUUCUAUUGAUGUAUUGGUUUUUUUGUUGCAUGUCCCCCCCUCACCCCACCAGACCUGCAAGGAGUGCAGAGCCCCCCCCCCCAUCCACUGGCAAAGAGCCUUUUCAGAUCCUGACAAAGCUGAGUGGUGGAAUGUCUGCCCUCUUGUGGACUUGCCCUUGUUGGGGGAGGAUCCUUUUCGGGACUUGGCUGGAGGGGAGAGGACUCACAGAGCUUUGCUGCCCAUCCCACUUCGCCCCUGGAGGCCAGGGAGACUAGCAGCAAAGCUGAGAAGUGACGCCCCUUUGGGGGUGACACCUGAGGCAGCCGCUUC